UACGAAGGGUGCGAGCGUUAAUCGGAAUUACUGGGCGUAAAGGGUGCGUAGGCGGUUAGUUAAGUCUGUUGUGAAAUCCCCGGGCUCAACCUGGGAAUGGCAAUGGAUACUGGCUGGCUAGAGUGUGUCAGAGGAUGGUGGAAUUCCCGGUGUAGCGGUGAAAUGCGUAGAGAUCCGGAAGAACACCGGUGGCGAAGGCGGCUCGCUGGGCAGUGGCUGACGCUGAGGCGCGACAGCGUGGGGAGCAAACAGG
rnacentral:rRNA from 1 species